rnacentral:rRNA from 1 species
GAUGAACGCUAGCGGCAGGCUUAACACAUGCAAGUCGAGGGGUAGAAGUUGCUUGCAACUUUGAGACCGGCGCACGGGUGCGUAACGCGUAUGCAAUCUACCUUAUACAGAGGGAUAGCCCAGAGAAAUUUGGAUUAAUACCUCAUAGUAUAAUUGAAUGGCAUCAUUUAAUUAUUAAAGUUCCAACGGUAUAAGAUGAGCAUGCGUCCUAUUAGCUAGAUGGUAAGGUAACGGCUUACCAUGGCAACGAUAGGUAGGGGUCCUGAGAGGGAGAUCCCCCACACUGGUACUGAGACACGGACCAGACUCCUACGGGAGGCAGCAGUGAGGAAUAUUGGACAAUGGGCGCAAGCCUGAUCCAGCCACGCCGCGUGCAGGAUGACGGCCCUCUGGGUUGUAAGCUGCUUUUAUACGGGAAGAAAAAGAGCUACGUGUAGCUUAUUGACGGUACCGUAAGAAUAAGGAUCGGCUAACUCCGUGCCAGCAGCCGCGGUAA